rnacentral:tRNA from 1 species
CAUUAGAUAACUUAAAGCAAGUACUGGUCUCUUAAACCAUAAAAUAGUAAAUUAGUGAUUACUUCUAAUG